CCACUUCGAGAGCUCGGUGUUAUCUAUUGAGGCCUUGUCACCUCUCUCAGCUUUGUCCAAUUUCAGCUUGUUACAAGCUGAAACUGGACCUAUACACCAAACGUUGUCUCCUUUACCCCUUUUAUACUCUUUGACAUAUUCAGCUUCCAGCUCUUCGAAAGUAUUAACCACAAUCCCAUCCGCUAUGACUUCAGAUGCUCUAAUAUUGUCUCGAACAUCUGUUAAGUCGUUGGAGCCAGGAUUGAGUGAUUCAGGUAGCUUGGCUCUGGUCAAUUCGAUUCGAUGAGGCAGGUCAGGUACCACAAAGGCCUCAAAC
rnacentral:misc_RNA from 1 species